rnacentral:rRNA from 1 species
GGAUUACUCAGAGUGAUCCCCGCUAAGGAUAUCUUUUGGCCCCUCUAAAAAUGGUGCAAAAUAAGGGGUGGGCAAGUCUGGUGCCAGCACCCG